UACGGAGGGGGCUAGCGUUGUUCGGAAUUACUGGGCGUAAAGCGCACGUAGGCGGCUUUGUAAGUUAGAGGUGAAAGCCCGGAGCUCAACUCCGGAAUUGCCUUUAAGACUGCAUCGCUUGAAUCAUGGAGAGGUGAGUGGAAUUCCGAGUGUAGAGGUGAAAUUCGUAGAUAUCGGAAGAACACCAGUGGCGAAGGCGACUCACUGGACAUGUAUUGACGCUGAGGUGGCGAAAGCGUGGGGAGCAACAGG
rnacentral:rRNA from 1 species